rnacentral:rRNA from 1 species
GNGCUAUACAUGCAGUCGAACGAGUUCUGAUUAUUGAAAGGUGCUUGCAUCUUGAUUUAGAUUUUGAACGAGUGGCGGACGGGUGAGUAACACGUGGGUAACCUGCCCUUAAGUGGGGGAUAACAUUUGGAAACAGAUGCUAAUACCGCAUAAAUCCAAGAACCGCAUGGUUCUUGGCUGAAAGAUGGCGUAAGCUAUCGCUUUUGGAUGGACCCGCGGCGUAUUAGCUAGUUGGUGAGGUAACGGCUCACCAAGGCAAUGAUACGUAGCCGAACUGAGAGGUUGAUCGGCCACAUUGGGACUGAGACACGGCCCAAACUCCUACGGGAGGCAGCAGUAGGGAAUCUUCCACAAUGGACGCAAGUCUGAUGGAGCAACGCCGCGUGAGUGAAGAAGGCUUUCGGGUCGUAAAACUCUGUUGUUGGAGAAGAAUGGUCGGCAGAGUAACUGUUGUCGGCGUGACGGUAUCCAACCAGAAAGCCACGGCUAACUACGUGCCAGCAGCCGCGGUAAUACGUAGGUGGCAAGCGUUAUCCGGAUUUAUUGGGCGUAAAGCGAGCGCAGGCGGUUUUUUAAGUCUGAUGUGAAAGCCCUCGGCUUAACCGAGGAAGUGCAUCGGAAACUGGGAAACUUGAGUGCAGAAGAAGACAGUGGAACUCCAUGUGUAGCGGUGAAAUGCGUAGAUAUAUGGAAGAACACCAGUGGCGAAGGCGGCUGUCUGGUCUGUAACUGACGCUGAGGCUCGAAAGCAUGGGUAGCGAACAGGAUUAGAUACCCUGGUAGUCCAUGCCGUAAACGAUGAAUGCUAGGUGUUGGAGGGUUUCCGCCCUUCAGUGCCGCAGCUAACGCAUUAAGCAUUCCGCCUGGGGAGUACGACCGCAAGGUUGAAACUCAAAGGAAUUGACGGGGCCCGCACAAGCGGUGGAGCACGCACAAGCGGUGGAGCAUGUGGUUUAAUUCGAAGCAACGCGAAGAACCUUACCAGGUCUUGACAUCUUUUGAUCACCUGAGAGAUCAGGUUUCCCCUUCGGGGGCAAAAUGACAGGUGGUGUAUGGUUGUCGUCAGCUCGUGUCGUGAGAUGUUGGGUUAAGUCCCGCAACGAGCGCAACCCUUAUGACUAGUUGCCAGCAUUUAGUUGGGCACUCUAGUAAGACUGCCGGUGACAAACCGGAGGAAGGUGGGGAUGACGUCAAAUCAUCAUGCCCCUUAUGACCUGGGCUACACACGUGCUACAAUGGAUGGUACAACGAGUUGCGAGACCGCGAGGUCAAGCUAAUCUCUUAAAGCCAUUCUCAGUUCGGACUGUAGGCUGCAACUCGCCUACACGAAGUCGGAAUCGCUAGUAAUCGCGGAUCAGCACGCCGCGGUGAAUACGUUCCCGGGCCUUGUACACACCGCCCGUCACACCAUGAGAGUUUGUAACACCCGAAGCCGGUGGCGUAACCCUUUUAGGGAGCGAGCCGUCUAAGGUGGGACAAAUGAUUAGGGUGAAGUCGUAAC